CUUAUUGGGCCGGGGUAUUUCGUCUGCCACAAUUAAUACAAUUUGUGGCAAUAAUUUACCCUCCUCCACCAGUUUUUUCUUGCAUCAAAUUCACUUUCUAUCACCUUUUGCUUUCUCCCUUUAAUUUCUAUCCUUACCCUCUAGCCCUACCCAUAAUUAAUUAGCAACUAAAGAAAACCCCAUCUUUUCUGUCCCUUCCUCAAAAUCACUAUAUAAUGGUGUAAAGGAAAAUUUCAACAAGAAACUCUUGUAAUUAGUUGUGGAGGAUAGAUGCAUACUAGCUAGCUACCUAAUUUAGGUACUACUGUUCAUAUUGCCAAUUCUACCUUUACCACUUCUAAGACUUCCAAUUCUUCUUUGAUACAAGGAAAUGAGUAAAGGAGGGAAUAGCCCGAUGUUGGAUUUGAAGCUGAACCUUUCACCACCUAGGCCUAAUCAACAGGUUGAAUCGCUUUCGAAUUCAUCUUGGGAUGUGUCGGCAGACAGCUCAUGUGUUUCGUCGGAGCCUGAAGACAUGAAUGUCAACUACCGCAGCUGCCCAGACACAACUCCUAUGGUGCUAGUUGGCUGUCCUCGAUGCCUCAUGUAUAUUAUGUUAUCCGAGGUGGAUCCCAAAUGCCCGAAAUGCAAGAGCACAGUCUUGCUUGAUUUUCUCCGCGAGGAAAACACCAAGAAGACAACAAACUGAAAGGAAGAUCCUCGCGGGUUCUUCUAGUUGUUCUUCAUUCAAAAACAAAUGUUACUUUCUUGCCUAGCUAAGGUCUUUUUCAUAAUUUUGAUCUUUAUGUCUAUCCAGCUUUACCUCUUUUUUAUUUUCUAAUUCUCUCUCUCUUCUGUUCAAUGUUGGCUCAGUUUUUGGUUCUGCUAUCUUUGUUCAAUGAAGUUCUUGUUUGAGAGCA